UCGAUGGAUCCGAUUGCCGCUUGAUUAUUGGUUGACCAAUAAUUCAAGAGGAAAGUCCGGGCUCCGUAGGGCAUGAUGCCGGGUAAUUCCCGGGCUUAUAAAAGACUUUCGUCUUUUAUAAGACAGACAGUGCAACAGAAAGUAUACCGCUACAUCGUAAAAUCCUAUGGAUUUUACGAUCAGUAAGGGUGAAAGGGUGGGGUAAGAGCCCACCGCAUAUCUGGUAACAGGUAUGGCACGGCAAACCUCAUCAGGAGCAAAGUUGAGCAACGGAAUGAAGGGCCCCUUCGUUACUCCGUGGGUAAACUGCGUUGACAGUAUUGGUAACAAUACUGCGAGAUAGAUGGCAAUCCUACGGUUUCGGUAUCCGAAACCGUUUGACAGAACCCGGCUUAUGGAUCCAUCGUUUUU
rnacentral:RNase_P_RNA from 3 species